UCCACGCCGUAAACGAUGGAUACUAGUUGUUGGUUGUACAUUGGUAUGAUCAGUGAUUAAGCGAAAGCAAUAAGUAUCCCACCUGGGGAGUACGGUCGCAAGAUUGAAACUCAAAGGAAUUGACGGGGGCCCGCACAAGCGGUGGAGCAUGUGGUUUAAUUCGAUGAUACGCGAGGAACCUUACCAGGGCUUAAAUGUAAGUUGCAUAGUUUAGAGAUAGACUUUUCUUCGGACUACUUACAAGGUGCUGCAUGGUUGUCGUCAGCUCGUGCCGUGAGGUGUCAGGUUAAGUCCUAUAACGAGCGCAACCCCUACCGUUAAUUGCCAGCAUGUAAAG
rnacentral:rRNA from 1 species